UUUUUUUUUUUUGAAGGAGAAACGGUGUGAAAAUUGCCCGGAUCCUUGUUCCCUCAAAGCAUCUCAGAAGCAAACUGCAGGAAGUGGUGGAUUCCGACAUAAAGGACAUCGUUUGCCUGCCUUAUUAUCUCAUUUUCCAGCAGGGCGGACAGGACAGCUGCCUGUUAUUACCCAGCACACCAGGAAGUGAUUUGCUGCCAAAGAGAAGAGAGGAGGGGAGGGAUUAGCGUGCUCACGCCACACAGACGGACCUCUUGCACCUGCAAUGGAGAUCUCCCUGGAAGGUGGCCGAGCACCGUCUGAAGUGACAUUUCAAAGAAAAGAAGUGAUUUCCUUCCGUUUCUCAAUGUCUAAUGCACGGGGGAAGGGGCGGAGUCAGACAUCAGGAGCUGACAGCCAGAGAAGGGUGACAGGAGACCUUACAUGGCCCUCUUGUUCACAGCAAAAGUGACUUCAGUUCUCAGGCUGAUCCCCCCGGAAGCCUGCACAAGAGGAAGAGAGUCUUGGAUCCUUUAGCACCACUGAUAAGUUUUGUAAAAUAAAUCUUUGAAUU